GACGAACGCUGGCGGCGUGCUUAACACAUGCAAGUCGAACGGUAAGGCCCUUCGGGGUACACGAGUGGCGAACGGGUGAGUAACACGUGGGUGAUCUGCCCUGCACUUCGGGAUAAGCCUGGGAAACUGGGUCUGAUACCGGAUAGGACUCCUGGUUUCAUGGAUGGGGGCGGAAAGCCUUGGCGGUGUGGGAUGGGCCCGCGGCCUAUCAGCUUGGUGGUGGGGUAAUGGCCUAGCAAGGCGACGACGGGUAGCCGGCCUGAGAGGGUGACCGGUCACACUGGGACUGGGAUACGGGCCAGACUCCUACGGGAGGCAGCAGCGGGGGAUAUUGCACAAUGGGCGCAAGCCUGAUGCAGCGACGCCGCGUGGGGGAUGACGGCCUUCGGGUUGUAAACCUCUUUCAGCUAUGACGAUGCGCAAGUGACGGUAGUAGCAGAAGAAGGACCGGCCAACUACGUGCCAGCAGCCGCCGUAA
rnacentral:rRNA from 1 species